rnacentral:rRNA from 1 species
AGGGAAUCUUCCACAAUGGACGAAAGUCUGAUGGAGCAACGCCGCGUGAGCGAAGAAGGUCUUCGGAUCGUAAAGCUCUGUUGUAAGGGAAGAAUAAGUGCAGUAGUAACUGGCUGCACCUUGACGGUACCUUACGAGAAAGCCACGGCUAACUACGUGCCAGCAGCCGCGGUAAUACGUAGGUGGCGAGCGUUGUCCGGAAUUAUUGGGCGUAAAGCGCGCGCAGGCGGCCUUUUAAGUCUGAUGUGAAAGCCCCCGGCUUAACCGGGGAGGGUCAUUGGAAACUGGGAGGCUUGAGUGCAGAAGAGGAAAGUGGAAUUCCAAGUGUAGCGGUGAGAUGCGUAGAGAUUUGGAGGAACACCAGUGGCGAAGGCGACUUUCUGGUCUGUUACUGACGCUGAGGCGCGAAAGCGUGGGGAGCAAAC